GGAUGUGAGGGUGGAUAUGGCUGCAACAUCUGUCACCCCAUUAAUUGCCAGGCUUGAUUCUGCUGAUAUGGCUGGCUAAGCAGGUGUCCCCUUCCUUCCUCACUGAUCCAUAUGUGUCCUUCCUGAAGCUGCUCACUUAGUCAAAGAGAACGACCUUCCCCAAAUAGGGGAAGACCAGUCUUCCCUCAAGGGUGUAAGGAGUAGCUGUGCUCCCCUACUAGAACCUCUAAACAAGCUCUCAAGGUCCAUUUGUAGGAGAAUAUAGGGUAGACAAAAUAUCUUUUAAAACCUUCAUU
rnacentral:snRNA from 1 species